UACGUAGGAGGCGAGCGUUGUCCGGAAUUACUGGGCGUAAAGAGCGCGUAGGCGGCACGGUACGACCGGUGUGAAAGCCCCCGGCUCAACUGGGGAGGGUCACCGGUAACGGCCGAACUACGAGUGCAGGAGAGGGAAGUGGAACUCCGGGAGUAGCGGUGAAAUGCGUAGAGACCCGGAGGAACACCAGUGGCGAAGGCGGCUUCCUGGUCUGCAACUGACGCUGUGGCGCGAAAGCUAGGGGAGCAAACGGG
rnacentral:rRNA from 1 species